rnacentral:tRNA from 1 species
GGUGUAGCGCAGUUGGUAGCGCGCUUGGUUUGGGACCAAGAUGUCGGGGGUUCAAAUCCCUUCACU